GCACGACUUCAAAAAGGUGCCAAACACAGUUUUAUAAGUCGAUUUUAUGAGACAGCACAACGCAGAAAGAAGAUAUGAAUACAUCUUUGGGCACACUAUGAGAGAUACUUUAAGGUACUGUGAUUAUGACCCAAAAUGGGA